GAUGAACGCUGGCGGCGUGCUUAACACAUGCAAGUCGAACGAAGCACUUUAUUUGAUUUCCUUCGGGACUGAUUAUUUUGUGACUGAGUGGCGGACGGGUGAGUAACGCGUGGGUAACCUGCCUUGUACAGGGGGAUAACAGUUGGAAACGGCUGCUAAUACCGCAUAAGCGCACAGCAUCGCAUGAUGCAGUGUGAAAAACUCCGGUGGUAUAAGAUGGACCCGCGUUGGAUUAGCUAGUUGGUGAGGUAACGGCCCACCAAGGCGACGAUCCAUAGCCGACCUGAGAGUGUGACCGGCCACAUUGGGACUGAGACACGGCCCAAACUCCUACGGGAGGCAGCAGUGGGGAAUAUUGCACAAUGGGCGAAAGCCUGAUGCAGCGACGCCGCGUGAGCGAAGAAGUAUUUCGGUAUGUAAAGCUCUAUAAGCAGGGAAGAUAAUGACGGUACCUGACGAAGAAGCACCGGCUAAAUACGUG
rnacentral:rRNA from 1 species